GAUGAACGCUAGCCGCAGGCUUAAUACAUGCAAGUCGAGGGGCAGCGCAGUGUAGCAAUACAUGGGCGGCGACCGGCAAACGGGUGCGGAACACGUACACAACCUUCCUACGAGUGGGGAAUAGCCCAGAGAAAUUUGGAUUAAUACCCCGUAACAUAGCGAUGUGGCAUCACAUUGCUAUUAUAGCUUCGGCGCUUGUUGAUGGGUGUGCGGCUGAUUAGAUAGUUGGCGGGGUAACGGCCCACCAAGUCUACGAUCAGUAGCUGAUGUGAGAGCAUGAUCAGCCACACGGGCACUGAGACACGGGCCCGACGCCCACGGGAGGCAGCAGUAAGGAAUAUUGGACAAUGGACGCAAGUCUGAUCCAGCCAUGCCGCGUGAAGGAUUAAGGUCCUCUGGAUUGUAAACUUCUUUUAUAAGGGACGAAAAAAGGUCUUUCUAGAUCGUCUGACGGUACCUUAUGAAUAAGCACCGGCUAACUCCGUGCCAGCCGCCGCUGUAAAAC
rnacentral:rRNA from 1 species